CUAGAUGACGCUGGCGGCGUGCUUAACACAUGCAAGUCGAACGAUGAUCCGGUGCUUGCACCGGGGAUUAGUGGCGAACGGGUGAGUAACACGUGAGUAACCUGCCCUUAACUCUGGGAUAAGCCUGGGAAACUGGGUCUAAUACCGGAUAUGACUCCUCAUCGCAUGGUGGGGGGUGGAAAGCUUUAUUGUGGUUUUGGAUGGACUCGCGGCCUAUCAGCUUGUUGGUGAGGUAAUGGCUCACCAAGGCGACGACGGGUAGCCGGCCUGAGAGGGUGACCGGCCACACUGGGACUGAGACACGGCCCAGACUCCUACGGGAGGCAGCAGUGGGGAAUAUUGCACAAUGGGCGCAAGCCUGAUGCAGCGACGCCGCGUGAGGGAUGACGGCCUUCGGGUUGUAAACCUCUUUCAGUAGGGAAGAAGCGAAAGUGACGGUACCUGCAGAAGAAGCGCCGGCUAACUACGUGCCAGCAGCCGCGGUAAUACGUAGGGCGCAAGCGUUAUCCGGAAUUAUUGGGCGUAAAGAGCUCGUAGGCGGUUUGUCGCGUCUGCCGUGAAAGUCCGGGGCUCAACUCCGGAUCUGCGGUGGGUACGGGCAGACUAGAGUGAUGUAGGGGAGACUGGAAUUCCUGGUGUAGCGGUGAAAUGCGCAGAUAUCAGGAGGAACACCGAUGGCGAAGGCAGGUCUCUGGGCAUUAACUGACGCUGAGGAGCGAAAGCAUGGGGAGCGAACAGGAUUAGAUACCCUGGUAGUCCAUGCCGUAAACGUUGGGCACUAGGUGUGGGGGACAUUCCACGUUUUCCGCGCCGUAGCUAACGCAUUAAGUGCCCCGCCUG
rnacentral:rRNA from 1 species